CGGAGGGUGCGAGCGUUGUCCGGAAUCACUGGGCGUAAAGGGCGCGUAGGUGGCCCGUGGAAGUCUGCGGUGAAAGCCCGGCGCUCAACGCCGGGUCGGCCGUGGAUACUCUCGGGCUUGAGCUCACUAGAGGCAGAUGGAAUUCCGGGUGUAGCGGUGGAAUGCGUAGAGAUCCGGAAGAACACCGGUGGCGAAGGCGGUCUGCUGGGGUGAUGCUGACACUGAUGCGCGACAGCGUGGGGAGCAAACAGGAUUAGAUACCCUGGUAGUCCACGCCGUAAACGAUGGGCACUAGGUGCUUGGGGGAGCGACCCCCUGAGUGCCGUCGCUAACGCAUUAAGUGCCCCGCCUGGGGAGUACGGCCGCAAGGCUG
rnacentral:rRNA from 1 species